UACGGAAGGCAGCAGGGGGGAAUAUUGCACAAUGGGCGCAAGCCUGAUGCAGCAACGCCGCGUGAGGGAUGACGGCCUUCGGGUUGUAAACCUCUUUUAGUAGGGAAGAAGCGAGAGUGACGGUACCUGCAGAAAAAGCACCGGCUAACUACGUGCCAGCAGCCGCGGUAAUACGUAGGGUGCAAGCGUUGUCCGGAAUUAUUGGGCGUAAAGAGCUCGUAGGCGGUUUGUCGCGUCUGCUGUGAAAACCCCGAGGCUCAACCUCGGGCCUGCAGUGGGUACGGGCAGACUAGAGUGCAGUAGGGGAGAUUGGAAUUCCUGGUGUAGCGGUGGAAUGCGCAGAUAUCAGGAGGAACACCAAUGGCGAAAGGCAGAUCUCUGGGCUGUAAACUGACGCUGAGGGAGCGAAAGCAUGGGGAGCGAACAGGGAUUAGAUACC
rnacentral:rRNA from 1 species